rnacentral:rRNA from 1 species
AACGUAGGAGACAAACGUUAUCCGGAGUUACUGGGCGUAAAGGGCGUGUAGGUGGUAUCGUAAGUCUGGCGUGAAAUUUCUCGGCUUAACCGAGGCAGGUCGUCGGAUACUGCGAGGCUAGAGGACGGUAGAGGCGUGUGGAAUUCCGGGUGUAGUGGUGAAAUGCGUAGAGAUCCGGAGGAACACCAGUGGCGAAGGCGACACGCUGGGCCGAUACUGACACUGAGGAGCGAAAGCGUGGGGAGCGAACAGG